rnacentral:misc_RNA from 1 species
GAUGAAGAACGUAGCGAAAUGCGAUAAGUAAUGCGAAUUGCAGAAUUUCCGUGAGUCAUCGAAUCUUUGAACGCACAUUGCGCCCAUUAGUAUUCUAGUGGGCAUGCCUGUUCGAGCGUCAUUAAUUCCACUUAAGCCCUGCUUAGUGUUGGGAAUCUACUCUAGUGGUGCUACCCUGGAGCUACCCCUGAAAGGGGGCUGGCCCGGUAGCUACCCUGUAGUUCCUCAAAGAUAGUGCGCGGAGUUGCGUGGUCCUCUGAGCUUAGUAACUAUACACCUAGCUUUUGAGUGUCCCGCGGCGCCUGCCGUUUAAACCCCAUCUUUUAAUGGUUGACCUCGGAUCAGGUAGGAAUACCCGCUGAACUUAAGCAUAUCAAUAAGCGGAGGA